GGGUGCGAGCGUUGUCCGGAGUUACUGGGCGUAAAGAGCUCGUAGGUGGUUUGUCGCGUUGUUCGUGAAAUCUCACGGCUUAACUGUGAGCGUGCGGGCGAUACGGGCAGACUUGAGUACUGCAGGGGAGACUGGAAUUCCUGGUGUAGCGGUGGAAUGCGCAGAUAUCAGGAGGAACACCGGUGGCGAAGGCGGGUCUCUGGGCAGUAACUGACGCUGAGGAGCGAAAGCGUGGGGAGCGAACAGGAUUAGAUACCCUGGUAGUCCACGCCGUAAACGGUGGGUACUAGGUGUGGGUUUCCUUCCUUGGGAUCCGUGCCGUAGCUAACGCAUUAAGUACCCCGCCUGGGGAGUACGGCCGCAAGGCUAAAACUCAAAGAAAUUGACGGGGGCCCGCACAAGCGGCGGAGCAUGUGGAUUAAUUCGAUGCAGCGCGAAGAACCUUACCUGGGUUUGACAUGCACAGGACGCCGGCAGAGAUGUCGGUUCCCUUGUGGCCUGUGUGCAGGUGGUGCAUGGCUGUCGUCAGCUCGUGUCGUGAGAUGUUGGGUUAAGUCCCGCAACGAGCGCAACCCUUGUCUCAUGUUGCCAGCGGGUAAUGCCGGGGACUCGUGAGAGACUGCCGGGGUCAACUCGGAGGAAGGUGGGGAUGACGUCAAGUCAUCAUGCCCCUUAUGUCCAGGGCUUCACACAUGUUACAAUGGCCGGUACAAAGGGCUGCGAUGCCGCGAGGUUAAGCGAAUCCUUUUAAAGCCGGUCUCAGUUCGGAUCGGGGUCUCAACUCGACCCCGUGGAGUCGGAGUCGC
rnacentral:rRNA from 1 species